AAGAACACAUUGUUUACAAUACACGGUCACGGUCGUAAUAUUAAGUUUUAUACAAAAACAGUGUGAAGUAAGAGUAUGAGUGUCUCAAUAAUCUUCCAUAGAUGACAUACGGCAAACUCAGUGUGUGUAUGUAGCGGUAUGUAGCAUGAAAGCCGUAAAUAUGUGUAUCUAAGUGCGACGCAUUAAUAUUAGAAAUGAAACACAACAGCUGGGUUUAUUUAGUCAGCUGUAGUCCAACGAAAUUAUCCGAUUUCAAUGUCCUGUUUUAUUUGUUUGAGCGACGUCUGGAACUGGAAAAGAAUACCCAAUACGAAUUGAAUAUGUAGAAAAAAAGCCAAAAUGGGAAAUUCGAAGAAAUGACACAGCUGUCAUCAAUAUAAAACCGUUUCGACUCAUGGUCACCAUACCAGUUUUUCCACGCGGAAUUCUUCGGUAAACGAGAAUAAGGGAGAGUCUGUCACAAGUUUUGAAUAAAGGGAACUCACCAUUGACUUGAUUACAAGCCUAGAUGGGUGUAGGUUAUUUAGUAUUACAUUGAAGGUGCUAUGAGUGCAUGAAUCCUGCCCCGUGAUCGACGUGAGCUGUCAUUGAACAAUACAUUAUGUCAAAGUGUAACACGUGCAUAGGCUAACCUUUUUAUUCAUUCAUCAUUGAUAGAACAUUAAUUCUUUUAAGACGCUUCGGAUCAUUUUUUAUUUCAAAUAAAAAAUGAUCCGAAGUGUCUUAAAAGAAAUUUUGCGACCAAUUCAAUUGAUUUCGUCAUCGCAUUUGCUGUUCGUAUAAAAAUCAAACGAUUGCUCUAAGGCUGGUCGAAGAGAAAAAGAUGCCACCACUAGAAAACUUAACCAAAGCUGAUUAUGAAGAAAUGUUGGAGAUGUCAAACAAUCGACGACAAAAGUAUUAUGUUUAUUUGCAUUCAUCAACAAUGGGCACUUCGAAUGACGAGAAGCGUAUGAUAGCGGCGAGUAUCUGUGAUACAAAAAAAACAGCUGGGCACACUUGGUCAGCCGAAAACUGAUCAUAUUCGAUGUGGCCUAGGACAUAAUACACAAUUUUUGAGAAUAACAAAUAAACAAAUCAACAAAGGAAGAAAUUUCAAGUUGUGGCCACACUGUGGCGUGCAAUGAGACUAAAUGAACCAGCUCUAAUAUUGGGCUGUGGUUUCAAUGACAGAAUGACGAACCAGGAAAUUCGAGAUUUAGCGCGUCAAAUUAAAUAUUCCUUCAGUAAAAAUCGAUUUGAUCGUAAACCAUUUGUGUAACAUAAUUAAGUACAAACGGUUUACGAUCAAGUCGAUUUCACAGAUAAGGAAUACGAUAGCAACAAUUGCGUUUGAUGAAAAGAAGCAACUGAGGACAUUUGGUCCACCGAAAACUGAUCAUAUUCGAUAUGGCCUAGGACAUAAUACACAAUUUUUGAGAAUAACAAAUAAACAAAUCAACAAAUGGAGAAAUUUCAAAUUAUGGCGUGCAAUGAGACUAAAUGAACCAGCUCUUAUAUUGUGGUUUCGAUGACAGAAUUUCGAACCACGAAUUUCGAGAUUUGGCGCGUCAAAUUAAAUAUUCCUUCAGUAAAAAUCGAUUUGAUCGUAAACCAUUUGUACUUAAUUUGUGUAAUAUAAUCAAGUACAAACGGUUUACGAUCAAGUCGAUUUCACAGAUAAGGAAUACGAUAGCAACGAGUGCGUUUGAUGAAAAGAAGCAACUGAGAACAUUUGGUUCACCGAAAACCGAUCAUAUUCGAUAUGGCCAAGGACAUAAUACACAAUUUUUGAAAAUAAGAAGAGAAACAAUGACUAAAUGGAGAAAUUUGAAGUAUGGCCCUUACCAUUGGCAUAUUGGAGCUAAAAUAAUCUUUUUAUUUUGGAAUUGAAAAUCAAAAACGUAUAUCUUAUGAGUCGGUAUGAGUCGGUAUUUUAUUUGAAAUUUUUUUUGAUUUAUGCCUGAUGGUCGUUUGUGGUUUUCAAUUUCCAAAAAAUACAUCCACUGUUGAAAGACAUAAAAAUAACUUAAUUAUUUUCAUUAUUUCCAUAGGGUGUGGCCGCCACACUGUGGCGUGCAAUGAGACUAAAUGAACCACUCCAAUAUUGAACUGUGGUUUCAAUGACAGAAUGACGAACCAAAAAAAUUCGAGAUCUAGCGCGUCAAAUUAAAUAUUCCUUCAGUGAAAAUCGAUUAGAUCAUAAACCAUUUGUACUGAAUUUGUGUACCAUG